UUUUUUUGUUAUCUGUUAUUGUGAUAAUGUAUUUGCUGUUAACUGUUAUUGAAAAUUGGGAUGUUAACAUUUUUGGGACAGCCAAAAUUCGGUAGAAAUUGAAGAUCAUUGGACAUUGGAGUCUACCAAUACUAAUAUGUUGGUCCCGUAUUCGGAGAAGGAUUCCAUUAACAUAUACCAAUCAUAAAAGUGAGGUCCAGGACAAUUUCAUUAUAUCUUAUGAUUAUGCUUCGUAAAAGCUUUUAUAUUAUAUGGAACAUAGACUCAGCUCUUUUCAAAGCAGAACCAAAUACAUUGUACAAUGAAAGUUCCCACCAUGUACUGGGUUCCAAAGCUGCACAUAACUCAUUACAAUAAAAGAUUUAUUUCAACUUCAAGC
rnacentral:lncRNA from 1 species